AGCUUCGUUCACAACAGAUCUAUCAUUUCCUUCAAUUUUUUUUGGUAGAUGUGGUGCAUCUCUCACUCUCUCUGCCUCAUAAGUAUGUGUAUCUAUAGAUCUACGAAGAAAACAGUGCUUUGUUCUCGUUUUUGUUUGAAUUAUCAAUUUUAUUUGAAAGGCAGGGUUGGUUUUCUAUUUUUGGUUGUUUUGUUUCUAGAUCUGAACACGACUUCAUUACUCUUCUGAGGUUUGUUUUUGUGUUCUUACUCUUGUUUUUUUACAUCGAUUACCGAUUCGAAUUUAGACUCAACAAAGUUCUACUUCUCUCGAAUAUCACUACUUGAUUUUUUUUACUAAUUUUAAGUGUUUCAAAUUGAUCUCAUCGUUUCAUCGUCUUUUCUGAUUCAGAUGGCUUCGGCGACGCUCUCUCUUGCCUCUGCAUCUGCCUCAGCUUCAGCAAGCUAAUCGCAAGAGUUGGGUAAAAGGGGUUCAACUGCAGUUACAGCAAUCUUAAUUGAUUGUCAGAAGCUGGUGGUAGCUAAUGUUGGAGAUUCAAGGGCUGUCACCUACAAGAAUGGUGUGGCCAAACAAUUGUUAGUGGAUCAUGAGCCUAGCAAGGUAAGGACAUAUAUUGAGGACAGAGGUCGUUUUGUAUCAAAUUUUCCAGGUAACUAGACUUCUGAAAGAAAAUUGAAAAGUGAUGGACUGUCAUAAAGAAGUAAUAAUAAUAAUAAGUGUCAACUUAUUCUAGUUGAUUUGUUUUUUUAUUCUUUUGUAUUUACUUUUUAAGCUUAUCUUUUUGUCUGAUUAGCGUGUUGGUGUUUUCCAUGGUUCUGAAGGGAAACUUUUUUUUAAAGGACUUUUUGUUUACAUGAUGUCCAAGGGGGAAAAGGCAGACUAUGUUGGCUUUGAAUGAUCAAAAUGUAAAUUAUUCUUGGUACUUAUCAAAGGAUUAUUGUAAAUGGUACUUUGAGUAAAGUAACCACUUCUACAUGUUCCUUUGCUUUGGUAAUAAGCUUUUUGCAUAAUGAUAAUGUUAAUUUUAACAUGUUUCUUCCCCUAGCUAACCUUGACGUCAAGAUUAGAUCAUCUUACGAUUACAUCAUUGUGUUAAAUUCAGGUGAUGUUCCACGAGUUGGACAGUUGGCCGUAGCAAGAGCAUUUGGUGACAAAAGCUUGAAGAAACACCUCAGUUCAGAACCAGAUGUGUCUUUGGAGAUUGUAGAUGAAGAUACAGAGUUUGUCAUCUUAGCAAGUGAUGGCAUAUGGAAGGUAAUGACAAAUCAGGAGGCAGUGGAGUGCAUUAGGAACAUAAAGGAUGCUAAAGCAGCUGCUAAGCACUUUGU